GAGCGACUGCGCGAGCCGGGCGCGCGUACGCGUGAGCGCCGCCUGGGCAGUGGCGAGUUCGAUGCUCGCGUUAUUCGC
rnacentral:tRNA from 1 species